rnacentral:rRNA from 1 species
AUUGAACGCUGGCGGCAGGCCUAACACAUGCAAGUCGAACGAGUGGCGGACGGGUGAGUAAUGUCUGGGAAACUGCCUGAUGGAGGGGGAUAACUACUGGAAACGGUAGCUAAUACCGCAUACCAUCAGAUGUGCCCAGAUGGGAUUAGCUGGUUGGUGGGUUAACGGCGCCACAAGGCGACAAUCCCUAGCUGGUAUGAGAGGAUGACCAGCCAACCUGGAACUGCGCCACGGUCCGUACUCCUACGGUAGGCAGCAGUGGGGAAUAUUGCACAAUUGGCGCAAGCCUGAUGCAGCCAUGCCGCGUGUAUGAAGAAGGCCUUCGGGUUGUAAAGUACUUUCAGCGGGGAGGCGUUACCCGCAGAAGAAGCACCGGCUAACUCCGUGCCAGCAGCCGCGGUAAUAC